CUGGCUCAGGAUGAACGCUGGCGGCGUGCUUAACACAUGCAAGUCGAACGAAGCAUUUACUUACGAUCUCUUCGGAGUGACGAGUUUAUGACUGAGUGGCGGACGGGUGAGUAACGCGUGGGUAACCUGCCUUGUACAGGGGGAUAACAGUUAGAAAUGACUGCUAAUACCGCAUAAGCGCACAGUAUUGCAUGAUACAGUGUGAAAAAACUCCGGUGGUACAAGAUGGACCCGCGUCUGAUUAGCUAGUUGGUAAGGUAACGGCUUACCAAGGCGACGAUCAGUAGCCGACUUGAGAGAGUGAUCGGCCACAUUGGGACUGAGACACGGCCCAAACUCCUACGGGAGGCAGCAGUGGGGAAUAUUGCACAAUGGGGGAAACCCUGAUGCAGCGACGCCGCGUGAGUGAUGAAGUAUUUCGGUAUGUAAAGCUCUAUCAGCAAGGAAGAUAAUGACGGUACUUGACUAAGAAGCCCCGGCUAAAUACGUGCCAGCAGCCGCGGUAAUACGUAUGGGGCAAGCGUUAUCCGGA
rnacentral:rRNA from 1 species